rnacentral:rRNA from 1 species
UACGGAGGGUGCAAGCGUUAUCCGGAUUUACUGGGUUUAAAGGGUGCGUAGGUGGGCGAGUAAGUCAGUGGUGAAAUCUCCAGAGCUCAACUCGGAAACUGCUUCGCAUACUGACAGGCUGGAGGAACGGAGAGGUGAGUGGAAUUCCUGGUGUACCGGUGAAAUGGGUUGAUAUCAGGAGGAACACCGAUGGCGAAGGCAGCUCACUGGCCGUUAUCUGACGCUGAGGCGCGAAAGCGUGGGUAGCAAACAGG